UCUGCGAAAAUCCCCAGUUGCCAAGGA
rnacentral:piRNA from 1 species